rnacentral:rRNA from 1 species
CCUACGGGUGGCUGCAGUGGGGAAUAUUGGACAAUGGGGGCAACCCUGAUCCAGCCAUGCCGCGUGUGUGAAGAAGGCCCUCGGGUUGUAAAGCACUUUCAGUGAGGAAGAACGCCUGGUGGUUAAUACCCAUCAGGAAAGACAUCACUCACAGAAGAAGCACCGGCUAACUCCGUGCCAGCAGCCGCGGUAAUACGGAGGGUGCGAGCGUUAAUCGGAAUUACUGGGCGUAAAGCGCGCGUAGGUGGCUUGAUAAGCCGGUUGUGAAAGCCCCGGGCUCAACCUGGGAACGGCAUCCGGAACUGUCAAGCUAGAGUGCAGGAGAGGAAGGUAGAAUUCCCGGUGUAGCGGUGAAAUGCGUAGAGAUCGGGAGGAAUACCAGUGGCGAAGGCGGCCUUCUGGACUGACACUGACACUGAGGUGCGAAAGCGUGGGUAGCAAACAGGAUUAGAUACCCGUAUAGUC